rnacentral:lncRNA from 1 species
UGUUCGGUACCGGCGAUAUUUUGGAACGACACGGGAUAUCCUUCAAGUUGUAAUCAAACGGUAGAAAAACACGAAGGAACGGAUUGUUCCGGUCAAAGCGGAUUGUUCUGGAUUGUUCUGAAAUAACCCAUUAAAAAUCAUUCCUAGAAGAACUGAGAACAACUUUAUUCUCCUCUUUAUUUUAUUAAAUAAAUAAAUAAAUAAAUUAAUUAAUUAAUAUAAAUAUUAUUUUUAUGAUAAUAUAUUUAUACUUAAAUUUUAUUAUAUAAUAUAAAAUAAUUAAUUUGAUAUAUUAUUAAGUUUAUUAAAUUUAUUAUUUAUAUAUUAAUAUUUAAUUAUUUAUUUUAUAUUAAGUAUUAUGAAUUGAGCUCCUAUGCUUUUAAAAGUACUAAGUUAUUUGUACUUGUAGAUUUUUAGCCAUUGGAUUAAGAGAUAUGCGGUUANCCCAAAUACAUCCAAACAUAAAUUUAUCCUCUAGAAUUUCCCAAAUACAUCCAAACAUAAAUUUACAAUUGUUCUAUUUUAUACUGGAAUAUUUCUUGUUCUCGGGAAUAAUAAACACAGCCUAAGUCCCCUCUCCACUGCGUUUCAACUAAGGGGUUAUUUGAUUGGAUAUAGUUAUAAAUAUAAUGUAGUUUUUUUUUUUAGUAAUAGGUAGCACGCUACCCGCUUCGUUUAUUUCAUUUAGAAAUAAAUUUAGCUGAAAAUGUGAAUCAACUAGGAUUCGAACUUGGAUUUCGAGUACCAACCACCAAGCCCUUUACCACUUGCUCUAAGGACGGUCAAUUAUAAAUAUAAUGUAGUUAAAAAUAUAAUAGUUAUAAUUACACAUAAUUUAUUUAAUUUUGUAUUGAUGCAACUAUUACAGUUGUAUUUCUUCGGUUUGGUAAUGUGAAACUAAUAGUUGUGUUUGUGAAUCUCGUCAUAUUUUCAUAUAGAAUAGUGAGAUUACUCUUACUAUACAUAGAAUAAUUGUAUAAAUUUAUUAAUCGUUUAAACUAAAUAUCUAUAAAUAAAUAAGUGGAUAUAUGUAUAUGCUUCUAUAUUUUUCAAUAAUUUUAAACUUAUCAAUCGACACAUAUAAAAUUUUUAAUAUAUUUAAUUUUAAUAUAUAAAUUGAACUUUAAAACUUUAAACGAUUCUCUCAUUUUUUAUAAAAUUUAAUAAUUAUAAUUAAUUAAAAUUUAUUAAGUUAACAUACACAAUCACAUUCAAUAAAAAUUUAGAAAAAAAACUUUUUUUAUAUUUUAAAUAAAACUAAUUUUAAAUUUUUUUAAUUUUUAACACAUAAU